CCCAGGCGUGAGGAAAGUGACUGAGACUACAUUGUUCACUCGAUAAGCCCAUUGCCAAGGGCAGGUGAUGAAGAUGGACUGGCUGCAGUACUAGAGUUUGGUGGGUGUUAUGGAAUCGUCACAUACGUUUUAAAAAUCCCAAAGUGUGUCAAAGUGUGCCCUCUGAAAUGACACCCGGGAGUCACACAGAAUGGUAUCUACUGUAAUAUUACGGUAAACAUUCAUUUUCCUCAAGUAUUUGAGGUGAAUUGUGGUGGACAUUUCCUGGGUUUUAGCUGGUUGACAUGUGAAGCUUUUUCCUGUCCCCUAGCUGUGGAUCUGGGAACCAGCUAUCCCCACAUGCAGCUCCUGAAAACUACUCGGGCCAUGAAGCCCACUCGGGGCUUGACUCUCGGAAACCGGCACAAAGCCACAGUGGAGAAAGUGACCACACUGUCACCACGGGUUCUUCCUUCUCACGAGGACAUCAUUCCUGCCGAAUCAGGACUCCUCCUGUGGCCUUGCCUAACUACCCAGACAGGCUGCUGACAAGAUGACAACCAAGACUCCAUUCUCAAGUCGCAGUGACACACGGCGCCUCAAAAUAAGUCACAAAAACCCCGUGAACCUCACAGGGCCUGGGGCUCCAGCAAAACCAGACCUGGAACCGUGUGAAAAGUUGGGGCCAGAGGAAGAGUGAAUGCUGAAGAGAUUAUCACCAUUAAAAUGGAAACAAAUACUGUGUACAGAGAUAAGAAGAGAGACGCCUUGAGGAUAUCACAGGCUCAAGAGUACGUCAACUUCUUUUUUUUUGUUUGAUUUUUUGA